CAACUCUCUGUCUCUCUCUUUGCUCUCUUUCUCAUAGCGCAGCUGUUUCUCUCUCUAGCUUCGUUAUGUCUCUUUCUCCCCUAUUCGAUCUCUUGCUUUCUGUUUGGAAUCGCGAACCCCUCCCUUUAGCUAUGUCUUCUGAAUAGCUGCUUGCAACCUUGAAGCUCUAGUGGAUUGCCGACCUCGAAAAGAAAUGGAGACAAUUGUUAUUCUCGUGUGCUACAAUGGAAAAUGGGUCACCUCGAAGAAGAUGUGCAAAUACGAAGGGGGUGACU